AUUGAACGCUGGCGGCAGGCCUAACACAUGCAAGUCGGACGGUAGCACAGAGGAGCUUGCUCCUUGGGUGACGAGUGGCGGACGGGUGAGUAAUGUCUGGGGAUCUGCCCGAUAGAGGGGGAUAACCACUGGAAACGGUGGCUAAUACCGCAUAACGUCGCAAGACCAAAGAGGGGGACCUUCGGGCCUCUCACUAUCGGAUGAACCCAGAUGGGAUUAGCUAGUAGGCGGGGUAAUGGCCCACCUAGGCGACGAUCCCUAGCUAGUCUGAGAGGAUGACCAGCCACACUGGAACUGAGACACGGUCCAGACUCCUACGGGAGGCAGCAGUGGGGAAUAUCGCACAAUGGGCGCAAGCCUGAUGCAGCCAUGCCGCGUGUAUGAAGAAGGCCUUCGGGUUGUAAAGUACUUUCAGCGGGGAGGAAGGCGGUGCGGUUAAUAACCGCGCCGAUUGACGUUACCCGCAGAAGAAGCACCGGCUAACUCCGUGCCAGCCGCCGCCGUAA
rnacentral:rRNA from 1 species